rnacentral:tRNA from 1 species
GGGCUGGGGCUCAGUGGUAGAGCACUUGCCUAGCACGUGUGAGGCACUGGGUUCAAUCCUCAGCAUCACA